rnacentral:rRNA from 1 species
AUCCUGGCUCAGGAUGAACGCUAGCUACAGGCUUAACACAUGCAAGUCGAGGGGCAGCGGGGAUUGAAGCUUGCUUCAAUUGCCGGCGACCGGCGCACGGGUGAGUAACGCGUAUCCAACCUUCCGUACACUCAGGGAUAGCCUUUCGAAAGAAAGAUUAAUACCUGAUGGUAUGAUGAGAUUGCAUGAUAGCAUCAUUAAAGAUUUAUCGGUGUACGAUGGGGAUGCGUUCCAUUAGGUAGUAGGCGGGGUAACGGCCCACCUAGCCUACGAUGGAUAGGGGUUCUGAGAGGAAGGCCCCCCACAUUGGAACUGAGACACGGUCCAAACUCCUACGGGAGGCAGCAGUGAGGAAUAUUGGUCAAUGGACGAGAGUCUGAACCAGCCAAGUAGCGUGAAGGAUGAAGGUCCUACGGAUUGUAAACUUCUUUUAUAAGGGAAUAAACCCUCCCACGUGUGGGAGCUUGUAUGUACCUUAUGAAUAAGCAUCGGCUAACUCCGUG